CACGUAGGGUGCGAGCGUUGUCCGGAAUUAUUGGGCGUAAAGAGCUCGUAGGCGGUGUGUCGCGUCGGCCGUGAAAACCUGCAGCUUAACUGUGGGCUUGCGGUCGAUACGGGCAUCACUGGAGUUCGGCAGGGGAGACUGGAAUUCCUGGUGUAGCGGUGAAAUGCGCAGAUAUCAGGAGGAACACCAGUGGCGAAGGCGGCUCACUGGCCCGAUACUGACGCUGGAGGUG
rnacentral:rRNA from 1 species